UGGGGAAUUUUGGACAAUGGGGGAAACCCUGAUCCAGCCAUCCCGCGUGUGCGAUGAAGGCCUUCGGGUUGUAAAGCACUUUUGGCAGGAAAGAAACGUCGCGGGUUAAUACCCCGCGAAACUGACGGUACCUGCAGAAUAAGCACCGGCUAACUACGUGCCAGCAGCCGCGGUAAUACGUAGGGUGCAAGCGUUAAUCGGAAUUACUGGGCGUAAAGCGUGCGCAGGCGGUUCGGAAAGAAAGAUGUGAAAUCCCAGAGCUUAACUUUGGAACUGCAUUUUUAACUACCGGGCUAGAGUGUGUCAGAGGGAGGUGGAAUUCCGCGUGUAGCAGUGAAAUGCGUAGAUAUGCGGAGGAACACCGAUGGCGAAGGCAGCCUCCUGGGAUAACACUGACGCUCAUGCACGAAAGCGUGGGGAGCAAACAGGAUUAGAUACCCUGGUAGUCCACGCCCUAAACGAUGUCAACUAGCUGUUGGGGCCUUCGGGCCUUGGUAGCGCAGCUAACGCGUGAAGUUGACCGCCUGGGGAGUACGGUCGCAAGAUUAAAACUCAAAGGAAUUGACGGGGUCGA
rnacentral:rRNA from 1 species